ensembl:lncRNA
CUUCACAAAUCCUUCAUUUAAGCGAAAAUCAGGUGGUUUCUCUUCGAGAAUCCCCCAUUUAUCCCGAAAAUCACGCGUUUUCUCUUUGGAUAUCCUUCAUUUAAGCAAAAAUCACGCGUUUUCUAUUCUAAAAUCCCCCUUUUAACCCGAAAAUCACAUGCUUUCUCUUCGGGAAUCCCCCAUUUAAGCAAAAAUCACGCGUUUUCUCUUCGGGAAUCCCCCAUUUAAGCGAAAAUCACACGUUUUCUCUUUGAGAAUCCCCCACUGAAGCGAAAAUCACGCGUUUUCUAUUCGGAAAACCCCCAUUUAACCCGAAAAUCACGCGUUUUCUCUUCGAGAAUCCCCCAUUUAAGCAAAAAUCACGCAUUUUCUUUUCGAGAAUCCCCCAUUUAACCCGAAAAUCACGCGUUUCCUAUUUGAAAACCCGCCAUUUAAACAAAAAUGCCACAUUUUCUCAUCAGAAAACCCCCAUUUAACCCGAAUAUCACGUGUUUUCUAUUCGAGAAUCCUUCAUUUAAGAAAAAAUCAUGCGUUGUCUCUUCGCAAAUCCCCCAUUUUACCCGAAAAUCACGCGCUUUCUUUUCGAGAAUCCCCCAUUGAACCCGAAAAUCACGCAUUUUCUCUUCAAGAAACCCCCAUUUAACCAGAAGACCACGCGUUUUCUCUUUGAGAAUCCCACCUUUAAGCGAAAGUUGUGCAUUUUCUCUUCAAGAAUCCCCCAUUUUACCCGAAAAUCACGCGCUUUCUCUUCGAGAAUCUCCCAUUUAAGCAAAAAUCACGUGUUUUCUCUUCGAGAAUCCCCCAUUUAAGCAAAAAUCAUACGUUUUUUCUUCCAAAAUCCCCCAUUUAUGCAAAAAUGCCGCGUUUUCUCUUCAGAAAACCCCCAUUUAACCCGAAUAUCACAUGUUUUCUCUUCGAGAAUCCCCCAUUUAAGCAAAAAACACGUGUUUUCUUUUCGGAAAACCCCCAUUUAACCCGAAAAUCACGCGUUUUCUCUUCGAGAAUCCCCCAUUUAAGCAAAAAACACGUGUUUUCACUUAGAGAAUCCCCCAUUUAAGCAAAAAACACGUGUUUUCUCUUCGCAAAUCCCCCAUUUAAGCGAAAAUCACGCAUUUUCUCUUCGCAAUCCCCAUUUAAGCGAAAGUCACGCAUUUUCUCUUCGCAAAUCCCCCAUCUAAGCGAAAGUCACGCGUUUUCUCUUUGAGAAUCCCCCAUUUAAGCGAAAAUCACGCAUUUUCUCUUCGCAAAUCCCCCACUUAAGUUGAAAAUCUCGUGCUUUCACUUCGAGAAUCCCCCAUUUAACCCGAAAAUCAUGUGUUAGGACUUUGCGAUUCCCCCAUUUAAGCGAAAUUCAUGCGUUUUCUCUUC